GCUGGGGUAGCUCAGCUGGUUAGAGCGCCUGACUGUGGAUCAGGAGGUCGGCGGUUCGAUCCCGCCCCCCAGUA
rnacentral:tRNA from 1 species